rnacentral:rRNA from 1 species
CAACAGGGAUUGCCUUAGUAACGGCGAGUGAAGCGGCAAUAGCUCAAAUUUGAAAUCUGGCGCUUGCGUCCGAGUUGUAAUUUGUAGAGGAUGAUUUUGGUUAGGUACCUUUCGAGUUCCUUGGAACAGGACGCCUUAGAGGGUGAGAGCCCCGUACGAUUGGAUGCCGAGCCUCUGUAAAUCUCCUUCGACGAGUCGAGUAGUUUGGGAAUGCUGCUCUAAAUGGGAGGUAAAUUUCUUCUAAAGCUAAAUACCGGCCAGAGACCGAUAGCGCACAAGUAGAGUGAUCGAAAGAUGAAAAGCACUUUGAAAAGAGGGUUAAAUAGCACGUGAAAUUGUUGAAAGGGAAGGAUUUAUGACCAGACUUUUUCUAGGAGGAUCAUCCGGUGUUCUCACCGGUGCACUUCUUCUAGUUUAGGCCAGCAUCGACUUCUGGCGGCGGAUAAAAGCUUUAGGAAUGUGGCUCCCUACGGGGAGUGUUAUAGCCUAUUGUAUAAUACGCUGCUGGGGGUCGAGGUACGCGCUUCUGCAAGGAUGCUGGCGUAAUGGUUAUCAAUCACCCGUCUUGAAACACG